GAUGAACGCUAGCGGCAGGCCUAAUACAUGCAAGUCGAACGGGAUCUGUGGGUAGCUUGCUACCCGAUUUGAGAGUGGCGCACGGGUGCGUAACGCGUGAGCAACCUACCCAUAUCAGGGGGAUAGCCCGAAGAAAUUCGGAUUAACACCGCAUAAUAAUACGCUAACACAUGUUGAUGUAUUCAAAUAUUUAUAGGAUAUGGAUGGGCUCGCGUGACAUUAGCUAGUUGGUAAGGUAACGGCUUACCAAGGCGACGAUGUCUAGGGGCUCUGAGAGGAGAAUCCCCCACACUGGUACUGAGACACGGACCAGACUCCUACGGGAGGCAGCAGUAAGGAAUAUUGGUCAAUGGGCGCAAGCCUGAACCAACCAUGCCGCGUGCAGGAUGACUGCCCUAUGGGUUGUAAACUGCUUUUGUUAGGGAAUAAACCUUCUUACGUGUAAGGAGCUGAAUGUACCUAAAGAAUAAGGAUCGGCUAACUCCGUGCCAGCAGCCGCCGUAA
rnacentral:rRNA from 1 species